GAAAUUUCCAGGAAAAACUCCCUCCAUCACGUCUCCUUCACGCGUAAACUCCUCCCCCAAACACCCUCCUCUCUCUCCUUCUCUCUAUCGCGCGUGAAGGAACAAAUUUGUGUCGUCUUCCUCUGUGAUUCAUACAACAGUACGCCCGCGUAGCUGCAGCAAUGAAGGCUGCAAAUCCCAUCCUUGUAGCGUAGGAUCAUUCCACGUAAUGGUGCAAGGACACGCGAUUAAUCUGAUCCCUCUAUGUGUGCUCCCUUUCCGUUGGAAUGCGACAAAUUCGAGAGCAUCUUCAGGGCAUAUUCCCUCAACCUUUGGAUAAGAUUUGGGCGUGUAAAGGCAUCUUCCAGCCAUUUCCCUUGGAAAAACCCUAAUUUUCCUCUAUUUAAACUCUCGUCUUGCUUCAGAAAACGGAUUGGAAAAU
rnacentral:misc_RNA from 1 species